rnacentral:lncRNA from 1 species
GAGCCCAUUCUCCCGUGACGGUGACUCCAACGGUUGGCUGAGGACGAUUCCCUGAGCCUUGACAAAGCAGGAGCCCUCCGUGGCGGUGCGUCGGUGUCGAGGCUCCAGUCUGACUAAUCCAGGGGGUCGACAAAACAGAUUCGGGACACUAUGCUACACGGAGGGCCUACCAGGAUGCAGAAACAGCAGACGGAGUCCAGGGAAAGCAGUGCGGCAUCCCAGCCUCAGGCCUGCCCGUACGGUGUUCGGACGGAAUGAAGUUGAUAAUAGUGAGACCUUGUUGGUACAAGACUAUGUAACAUAACCUGCGCUUCUCAACAAAGAAUUGCUUUUCUGACUUCUGCACUCAACUACUCAACAUGAAGGCAAUAAGAAUGAAGACCUCUAUGUAUAAUAAUUGACUUCCACUUAAUAAAUAAGGUUACUUGGUACACUGGUCGACAAAACCUUGAAAUGUUGAUGUUUAAGGGCUGUUGAUUGCUGGCAGCAAAGAAGUCCAACUGUGCUGGUACCCGAGAUAGCGUCUCCACAUUUUCUUCCAGGAUCAUCACCUUUGUUCUAAAUAGCUCCCACAUAGUGUGAACAGAAGUCAUAUGUUUUAGAUUUUCUGCCUUGGCACCCAGGAAACCAGUAUGAUUGAGUAAACAUAUUAAACUUCCUCUGCAUUUCCAGCCUGAACAGAUGUUGAGUACAAGCUGAUCCACCUACGUUCAACCUGAGAGAGUCCACAUCCACAGACUGUUUCAUUUCCCUUUUUCAAUUUACAUAGAAGCAUAGAUUCUUGCUGGCAUAUACAAAUGCGCCAUUUAAGGCAAUCAAAAAUGGUUCCACAUCUCAUCUGAUUUCCACAAUUGUUGCUGUAACGAUGGACUACUGAGGAGAGAGACAAUUUCUCUGGCACAUCUUCCCACAUUUUAGCAACAUGUUCAUGGAGAGCCAAUAUUCAGUAAUUACAGCCCAAUUCCUCACAAUUUCACAAUUCGCUAACAAUAUGCAUUUUCACAAUGUAAAGCUGAUUUUCCUUUAACCAAAUCAAACAUGAAAAGAUAGCUGCAUGCAAUGGGCAAUCUAGAUCAUUAGAAGAUUGAUGUAAAAUUAGAGGACACUGAGACUGGAAUAGAUUGCAAACUUCAGGGAGCUCAGAAAACUUGUAAACUCUACAUUUUGAGGAAAUAUGUUGUCGAUGCUUUUGCAACUCUAUGCAGUAACUUAACAAAUAAAGCCUUAAAGUAAC